UACGUAGGCAGCGAGCGUUGUUCGGAAUUACUGGGCGUAAAGAGUGUGUAGGCGGUGCUCCCAGUCUGUUGUGAAAUCUCCCGGCUUAACUGGGGAGGGUGCAGCGGAAACUAGAGUGCUAGAGGGUGGGAGAGGUAAGCGGAAUUCCUGGUGUAGCGGUGAAAUGCGUAGAUAUCAGGAGGAACACCUGUGGUGUAGACAGCUUACUGGACCACUUUCUGACGCUGAGACACGAAAGCGUGGGUAGCAAACAGG
rnacentral:rRNA from 1 species